GACGAACGCUGGCGGCGUGCUUAACACAUGCAAGUCGAACGGAAAGGCCCUGCUUGCUGGGUACUCGAGUGGCGAACGGGUGAGUAACACGUGGGUGAUCUGCCCUGUACUUCGGGAUAAGCCUGGGAAACUGGGUCUAUUACCGGAUAGGAGCCAUUUUUAGCGUGAUGGUUGGAAAGUUUUUUCGGUGUAGGAUGAGCUCGCGGCCUAUCAGCUUGUUGGUGGGGUAAUGGCCUACCAAGGCGGCGACGGGUAGCUGGCCUGGGAGGGUGGACGGCCACAUUGAGACUGAGGUACGGCCCAGACGCCUACGGGAGGCAGCAGUGGGGAAGAUUGCACAAUGGGCGCAAGCCUGAUGCAGCGAGGCCGCGUGGGGGAUGACGGCCUUCGGGUUGUAAACUCCUUUCGCUAGGGACGAAGCUUUUUGUGACGGUACCUAGAUAAGAAGCACCGGCUAACUACGUG
rnacentral:rRNA from 1 species